AUGGCGGCGCGGGGGUGCAGCGGGGUCUGGCGCUGGGCGCGGCAGCGCGGCGCGGGGCGGCUCGGGCCCGGGCCCGGGCCUUUCCCCCGCGGGCAGAGGGCUGUCGCCUGUAACGCGAAAGGCGGGGCGGUGCCGGCGGGGAAGAGCGGCCUUGCUCCAUGGAUACCAGUUGUGGGUCUGGAAAUUCAUGCACAGAUCAGUUCCAACUCAAAACUCUUCUCUGGUUCCCAAGUCCAGUUUGCAGCACCUCCCAACUCUUUGGUAUCUUUCUUUGAUGCUUCUUUACCAGGGACUUUACCAGUUCUCAACAGGAGAUGUGUAGAAGCAGCAGUGAUGACAGGCCUGGCUCUCAACUGCAGCAUAAACAAGAAGUCCUUGUUUGACAGAAAGCACUACUUCUAUGCAGAUCUGCCUGCUGGCUAUCAAAUCACUCAGCAAAGAGUUCCUAUUGCAGUAAAUGGAAGUCUCUCAUACAGUCUCUGCAUAGACAACAAGAUGAGCCAGAUGGUGACCAAAACUGUGAGGAUUAAACAAAUUCAGUUGGAGCAAGACAGUGGAAAAAGUCUCCAUGAUGACACAAGGAGUCAAACACUUGUGGACUUGAACAGGGCUGGAGUCGGUCUCAUGGAGGUUGUCAUGGAGCCUGAUAUGUGCUGUGGGGAAGAAGCAGCUGCAGCAGUCAGAGAGCUUCAGCUCAUUCUGCAAACACUUGGGAGCAGCCAAGCAGUCAUGGCAGAGGGUCAGCUGAGAGUGGAUGCCAAUGUUUCUGUGCAUCACCCUGGAGAGCCUUACGGAGUGAGGACUGAAGUGAAGAAUAUCAAUAGCAUACGAUUUCUGGCAAAAGCAGUAGACUAUGAAAUACAGAGGCAAAUUGAAGAACUUGAAAAUGGAGGGACAAUUUUGAAUGAAACAAGAGCCUUUGAUUCCAAGCUUGGGUGCACGGUACCAAUGAGAGACAAAGAAGGAAAACAGGAUUACCGGUUCAUGCCAGAGCCAAACCUUCCCCCAUUGAUUCUGUACGAUGCAAAAUCUUUGCCAGCUAAUAUGAACCAUCAGCAAGUGAUAAAUAUUGAUUGGAUUCAUGAGAGACUGCCUGACCUCCCCAGUGUGAAGAGAGAAAAGCUUGUUGAACAGUAUGGGAUUCUUCCUGAACACAGCUUCACCUUAUUGAAUGAAGAUGGACUAGCAGAAUUCUUUGAAAGUGUGGUAAAACAGACCCAGAUGAAGCCAAAGAAGGUGAUUGGCUGGAUUCUAAAUGACCUGCUUAGUUACUUGAAACAACAUUCCCUUACAGUAAAGGAAAGCCCAGUCAGUUCUUCUCUCCUGGCUGACCUCUUGAACCUUCUAGAAAAAAAAGAAAUUUCUUCUACAGCAGCAAAGCGGGUGCUUGCGGAAUUGUGGAAGGGAGAAGGGAAGACUCCCCUUGAAAUUGUUAAAGAACAGAAACUUGAACUGUUACAGGAUCAAAAAGAGCUUGAACAGAUCUGUCAGGCAGUGAUUGAUGGACAAGAAAAUGAGGUUAUGGCAAUAAAGACAGGAAAUCGAAAAGUUCUAAAUAAGUUAAUUGGUCUGGUACAAAGGAAAACACAAGGACGGUCCAAUCCUGUUCUGGUGAAGCAGUUAUUAGAGAAGAAGCUAUCAGAGUAGCCACAAGAGAAAAAGCACACAAAGAAGCAUGAAGCACAUAAAGAAACAUGUGCUUCGUUCUGUCUGCAAAUGAACUUCAGCGUCUCCUUGUGCAGCAUCGUGCUUGUUGGUUAUACUUCAAGCAGCUUGAAGUCCCAGUCUUCCCUGAAUACAUCAGCCAAAGGCAGAUGGGCCAGAGAAAAGCAGGAUACAGCCAUUUGCAUCUCCCACGCUUUGAUGUGGCACUAGGAAAUGUGAUUUCCACACAGCCCUGGGAAACAAGCUCCCAGAGGUGUCUGCAAGAACUUGGCCCCGUGUUACGAAUGCCCAAGGCCCAGGGCUUCUGCUUCUCUGGAAAUUUACCAAUCUUACUAAAAAUACCAAAUCACACCUGAAAGUGCUCUGUACCGCAGCAUGACAUCACUGAAUUCAGACUUUUUGCGAACUGACAAAGCCCAAAGAAAGAGGAAACAAGUAAUUUAUGAACUGGAUGCUUGGAAGCAUGUACCUGGGCCUGCUGGUGGGAGGGACAGUCCAUGUCUGAUACUGGAAUUUUCUCAUCUCCACAGAAUACAUCUGAAAACAGAAAUUCUCAUUUCUGUUCUUCCAAACCAAGGUCAGAAGUUACCAGGACAAAAAAAGACGAUGCAUUUUUCACAUCCAGAACUGCAACGCUAACAACUUGAUCUCAUUCAAAAUACCAUAAUAUUCUUUAGGGCACACAUGGAAAAGAUCAAAUUUAAGAAAAAUGCCUAGAAUACAAUAAUUAAAGUAGUAAGCACAGCCAGCAACACAAGGGACUGCACCUGACUACACAUGUCCAAAGAUCCAGUGUGUUGGUGCACAAGCAUCAAUGAAACUGCUGAGUGCUUCAGUCCAAUUAACACAAACCAUGUGUAUGUUUACUGAGACUAACCCAGAAAGCAUCCAAAAAUGGCCAAAGGUAAAAGAGAAUGACUACAAAUCUUUUAAGACAAAGUGCUCACUUUAUAGGUAUGUUGCAAAAACAAAAUAAACAAAAACCAAACCAAACACACGCACACACACAAAAAACCCCAAGUUUAAAAUGUUGGAAAGAUUCCUUGCUAUAGCAGAACAGCUUAUAAACACACUCCAAGGCUACAUAAUUGGAAAUGUGGCAUUCACAGUUUGAAACAUCUAGUAGGAGGCUGGAAAUUCACUUUGGUAUCACUGAGCCACCACCUGCAGUCUUUGGAAGAGAUCUGCCAAGGCACUUCAUCUGGGACUGAUGCUGAGCCAAUGUACCAAUGAAGGACUGCUCCAGUCACACACCCACCCGAGUGUGGGGAAAACCAGAUCAUAAAGCACUUCCUUGUUCUUGGUAAGAGCAGCAUAAUGCGGUUAUCCUCCAGGGACCUAUAGGCAGGACCACAGCUUGGACCACAGGCACAGGGUUUUUUGGGAAAGGAUGUGUCAUUGGUGAGAGACAGGAUAACACAUUAUCUAACUAGAGGGAAGAAGCUUAUUAGAGAAGCAUUUGGCUGAAGAGCUUAUGCACACAGAUGUGAUUCAUCUGAAAAGAUCAACAUUUUCAAGCUAAAUCACAGGUUCUGCAUUUUGAAGGCAGGAAGAGGCAAUUCCCAUCAAUAGUUUUUUGUGCUGGCUGCCAGACAUUAUACUGCUAUUACAGCUGAGACACAGCUGCAAAUCUGAUCCCACUCAGAAACCAAGCAGUGUAAAGGUACAUGUAUGAUCUGCAUUUUUACAUUCUAAGCCAGGGUCACUGCAUUCAUCCACCUCUUCCUUUUGGGGAGCUGACAGACAUUUACUGUUUGUGAGGGGACACUGAGCACAAACACAGCUCUGACCUUUCAGCAAGAAGCCUUCCGCACAACUCCAGAUUUCAAAGGCUGACUUUAUCCUACUGGAUGUAGACCAUAAGCUGUACCAAAACUUAUGAGGAAAAUCCUCUCCUUCCUCAAAUUUACAGAUGAUUUUAUGAGCAGUCCACAUUUUGAAAUCCUCAUGUAGCUUAACAGACCUGCCAAAAUGAAACUGCAGUGAUUUUGUACGUUUUUUUGAAAACACCAGUUAACAAUCUCAAAAGGAAUCCUUUCUACCCAGCAAAUAAGGAUUCUUAGUUUAGAAUACAAAGAAAAGAAAGGAGUGUUCAGGUAGUAAUUUUCUGCCUUGAGCACUGGUCUGCAGAGUUCUUUAUUUUUAAAAAAGUGAAAUAAUAUAAUUCCUUUCUAAACAUUCCUCAAAAAAGAAAAAAAAAAGGAUUAGAUUGGUUCUGCAUUUUAGCACUAGUUUCUGAACCACUAAAAGUCAGCUGAUCAAACUUUCCUUUUGCUCACAUGCAGUUCUUGCAGAAGAGGUGAGAAGCAGAGCAAGCACUGACCCUACAACCAUAAUGCUAAAACCUUUAUAACGCACACACACUGAAUCCCCUCAGGCCAGGCCUAUGAGCACAGCAUGGAAGGCAGCAGAAAUGGGAGAGGUGGGAAUGACCCAGGGUGCUGUAGGACAAGUUUAAAAAAGAAAAUUUUUUAAAAAAUAAAUCACUCCAUCUCAUUACCCAUUUACAACAACAAUGCAGGGGUGGGUGAAACUGAAGAAAGAAAGAGCUCUCUUCAACCUGGACAACUAAUACUUAAGGAAAAACCCCACGACUUUGGCUUCAGCUUCCAAGAAAACUGGUGAGGUGAGAUAGGGCCAUGUGGAGGUCAGUAGGUGAUUUACACAAUGUGUCAAUGAUUUACACAGUGAUGCAGUGGCACCUGACAAACUAAACAGGUCACAAAUGUAAGCAAGCCAGAGAGUCAGCUAGAAAGCAACAGGGUGCCCAGCCAUCAUGGAAGUGAAGACUGUGCAGUAAACAAAUAAAGAUGGACCCAGAGAAGUUCUGGAGGUGAUUUUGUUGAAGGUAGACUUGGGGAUUUUUAUUUUUUUUUCUUGGAACAGCCUACAGCAAGCUGACACAAUGAAUGCAGACACUCCGAUCUAUACCUUGUAGAUUAAACGCAGAACUUUUCAGAACUAUCUAAAGGAUUUAGGAGCUUAAACUGCACUGCACAUUCCAGAAGAAUUUGACGUGCAAUUAAUUAGACUGUUCUGGAGUGUCUUUGGUUUUUAUUUUUAAACUGUUUUUUUCCUUGAAAUCUCUGAGAAAGUGUGUUUCAAAUUCAGGAUGUAACAAACCAGAUUUCUACAUUAUGGAAUUACAAUGAGCAGGAGAACUAA